CUCAAGAAAAUGUCUACAAAUCCCCACUCAACAUUAUAAAAAAAUAGGGAAUCACAUAUCAAGCUUUUAAAGAUUUGGGAAUCAACAAAGACCAACAUGUCUGAAGCUUCUGUAAUUUUCUAAAUCUGUACUAAAAAAUAAAGGAAGAAAAGAAACGGAGAGAUUAAACUUUUCAAUAAAUAUUUACAUAAAAUUUCAACUUUUAAGAGUUGACAAUGAGAAAAGGAGACAUCCUCAGCUGGCUUCUACUGCCUACUCUGGCUCUGAGGAUGUCAUAAUGGAGAUGCUUGUUGAGCACAAAAACAAAACAAAACAAAUGAACAAGAAAAUAUGAGAGACAUUUAAGGAGACAGAAUGUGGUUGUAUCCCAACAUGGAAGAAAUGAUCACAAGAAUGACUACCUGCCAGGGUUAUAGGCAAGAGAUAAAUUAUGGGUUAUCUUUAUAGUAAUGUUUAUUUGUGUUACUCAGAUUGCCUUUAGAAGAUCAUCAGCUAAAAGCAAGAAAGAAGCCAAAAGAAAACCAAGCCAUCAUACCUCAAGCACUGCUUUAGAAAGGGCCAGAGAGAGACACUGAUAGCGAUAGCUACAGGUUGGCCUUGUAGCUUAUUUACCGUGAAAGAUCCUAAAACACUAAACAUUGCCCGCUGUGACUCUUGCAAUACUUCAGCCCACACCUCUUCUUCUCACCCCUCUUAAACAAACUGACUUCAGCACUCCCUACCUCCAGUUCCAUAACCAACACAAUCUAAAAUUCUUCAGACCUUCCAAGUGAUUGAACAAUAAACAACUCUCAGAAAAAAAAAAAAAAAGAAAACUUUAUUUUCAAGUCAGAGACCGACUUUUUCCAAUCUGGCACAUGAAAUAUUUGGGCUUCUUGUGUUUCUCCUACCUCCCUAUCCACUUAUUGAUUCCAAACAUUAUUCGACUGACCAACUUUGUGAAAUGUAAUUAUUACAAGUGAGGUAUUUUGAGUUUACUAGGAGGCUGGGGAGACACGGAUUUCAGGAGAGGUGAGGGAUUGAAGCCAGAGUGUGAAAACAGUGGCUCUCUCACGGAAUUGUAUGGCCAAGAAAGAUGUAGAAAUACUACAUGUAACCUAGACUUUUCCUCACUCUCUAUGGAGACACAACCAGUUAACUAUGACAAUUAUGCUUUGUCUGUCAAGCACACCUGCUGCACCACUUCUGACUUCAGAGCCUGGAAGCUAAGGACAGUAAACAUUACUAGUAAAGACAAUAGAAUUUAUCAGAUCCCCUUCCGAGACUGUCAUUAUUCAUAACUUUUUUUCUCUGUAGAUAGAUGUUAAGAAUAAUUAUUUUAGUACACAAACUUUUAAUUAUAUAGGUAUUUAAAUAGAUAUAUCAAGAGAAAUAAGAUUAAAAUCACUACCCUAUGUUUCCUACAUAUGUAGAUGUGAUCAUAUCAUCUUUUCUCUUUUGUGAUGUGUUUUUAACUUGUGUGAUAUAAUUUAGUAUGUAACAUAAUAUGUCAAUAUCAAAUAUAAUUUUAGUGUUUGUGUAUUAUUAUAACGUUUUUGCCAAAACAGUUUAUACAGUAACUUUUAUUAGAUAUUUAUUAUUUCUUAAAUGAUUCUCUGGGAUAAAGAUGUAAAUUAUUGUCCAUAUACUUAAUUAUUACUUUAAGAGUAAUUCUUAGAUUCUGAUUCCACAAUCAUUUUUGAGAAUUUUGAUAUGCAUUGUUAAAUUUCUUCUACAAAAAACAGUAUUACAGUGGCAACCUAUGGUGGAAAUAAUUGCAUGUUGUUUUCUACUUUAUUUGGAACACCAGACUGGAUAUGUUAAUAAUAGCUUUAAAAUCACAUGCUAUUGAAAGAUUGUGAAUAGUAAAUUCACAUAAAAUCA